CACCCUGGUAACUUGGGGAGGUACCGGGUUCAAAUACCACCCUGGUAACUUGGGGAGGUACCGUGUUCAAAUACCACCCUGGUAACUUGGGGAGGUACCGGGUUCAAAUACCACCCUGGUAACUUGGGAGGUACCGGGUUCAAAUAUCACCCUGGUAACUUGGGAGGUACCGGGUUCAAAUACCAUCCUGGUAACUUGGGAGGUACCGGGUUCAAAUAUAAAAUA